GUCCGCUGCCGCGGGAUCCGUGGCUGUGUUGGGCUUGCAGGUGGAACUGGAGCUGACCGUGAAGGAGCUGCCGCUCGGCCGGGGUGCACCA
rnacentral:miRNA from 1 species